AGCAGGCCGGGGGUGGGGCACCGAGACCUGGGUGUUACGAGGAGGGACCACGGCUUAAAACUCCUUGACACCAGAUGGCUCUCACUGGGGUCCUAUCUGUGCUGGUGCCAUCCGUGACACCCAGGGUCUCUAUCCAGAUGUUCCCACCUACAGGGAGCCCUCCCUGACUGUCACCAUCUUCCUCCCUCCCACCCCUGGGCCAGGACUUACCACCAGCUGUGCGCUCCGCUGCAGUUCCAGGGCCUGGGCAGCCUGCUGCUGUAGGUAGAGCAUCUCUUGCUGCCGCAGAAAGUGCUGCUGAGAGAAGAGCUGCAGCUGCUGGGCAUGGUGCAGGGGGCUGCGGCCCGGUGGGUACAGGGCCGGCCAGAGGGGAGGCACCGCUGCACGCUCCAUCAGUUCGGCUGUGGAAACCGACAACAGAGGAAUACACCCAGAGCCCCGGCUUCUGUGUGGGCCCCCACCCCAUUCCAGAGGGAGCCACUGAGAUCCAAUGCAGACACAACAAACAGGCCCCCGCUGGCUUCCCCAGCCUGGGACAUCACCCCUCACCCUACACUUAUGUGUGCCACAACGCUGCCCGAACCCCCAUGUAGAAUGGAGCAUGCCAGCCUGCAGGAUGGUACCAAAACCAUGGUCUGCAGAGUGGGUCCUAGAAGGGACAAGGACACCCAGUCUCCACAGGUGACCCUAAAUGAAUUCUCAUGGAAUCCCCAGUAUCUGCUCUCUGGACACAACUGAGGUUCAGGCUUCACCAGACCCCCUUGUCCCCACCCCCUAUACAGAGCUGUUCCAUCCCCAUGGGUGGCCAGAGAAAGUCCUUAGCUGUGAUUCAGGGGUCACUUACCAAAAUGAGGCAGGUGAUCACUAGGGAUAACCACCAGCUGGCCAGACUGGGGGUCCCUGACGAACUGGUAAGCUGAUGGCAAGGAGCCCCCUAAGCCAGGUGGAAAUGUGGGGGUCAUGCCCUGGUGCAAAGAGGGGGGUCCCAGGCCUAGGGGGAGAAAGCCAAGUUUACACCAAUGUCAGGAGGUUCCCAGCCCACUGACAGCACCGUAGUCCCUGAUGUCCACCGAGAAUCCUAAAGGGAAUCUUAAGAGUUCAGGCAGACAGGUAUGUCCCUCCCACCUUACUGGGAGUCAGAGAAAGACUAACUUGGUCCCAGCCUUCCCUCAAGGGAAGAAACCCCAGAAAGCUACACUCACCAUAAGGGUGUCCCGCAAGCCACAUGGAUGUGCUACCAGAGCGAGGGAGCCAGGGGUUCGUGGCCAAGUGAGCCGCGGGAUCAGCAGACCAGCGUCCUGAGCCUGCCAGCGUCGGACCACCAGUCACCAUGAGAUUGGGGUUCAGACCACUGGGAGCGCAGCUGGUAGGGUGUAGACGGGCCAAAUCAGCCAGCUCCUUACUUUCUCUGCAAAGGGGAACAGAGGUAUGAGAACAGCUGGUAGCCCAGGAAUGGGGGCAGAGUGAAAGAGAGUCACAGCCCCUGGGAGCUGACAGGUACUUAAAGUGAACUUGGGGACAGCUAAGGCUCUUCACCAGUGGCUGGAGGGGCCUUGAGUCACAUGGACUAAGGUGACUGGCUCUCAAGGACCAUGGUGGAGAACAGAGGUCACCUCAACAUCCCUACUCCAGAAGCCCCCGGCCCACACUCUCAAGCCCCCCCAAGCCCUCACCGGAGCAACUUCUCCUGGUCCCGGUCCAGCCGUGUCCCUAGCAGCCGAUCCUCCCGGUGCCUGGCUCUAUCACAGUCAUCAUCAGUCCGGCCAUGCCCUGGGGGCCAAAGGUGGCAGUGAGUUCCCAGCCAGCAAUAGUCCAGAUUCCCAUCACACCUCUCACAACCCUUCCCUCAUAUACCCUAUGGAACCCUCCAGCAACACAGUCCCUUAUGAUCCCUGAACCCCACUGAGGAGCCUUUGGCUCAAUAACCUCCCAUUCAUCCCUCCCACCCCAGGUGCCUGUCUGUCACUAACCUGUGGUGAAAAAUCACACUAGCAGACACAAGUUUAAACACAAUAAAAAUCUAUCAAAGAAG